rnacentral:rRNA from 1 species
UUCGCAAUGCCCGAAAGGGUGACGAAGCGACGCCGCGUGCGGGAAGAAGGCCUUCGGGUUGUAAACCGCUGUCGGGAGUUAAGAAAUGUAAGGAUGUUAAUAGCAUCUUUGCUUGACUAAGGCUCCGGAGGAAGCCACGGCUAACUCUGUGCCAGCAGCCGCGGUAAUACAUAGGCGGCAAGCGUUGUUCGGAAUUAUUGGGCGUAAAGAGCACGUAGGCGGCUAUGUAAGUCGGUUGUGAAAGCCUUCCGCUCAACGGGAGAACAGCAUCCGAUACUGCAUGGCUUGAGUGCGGGAGGGGAGAGUGGAACUUCUGGUGGAGCGGUGAAAUGCGUAGAUAUCAGAAGGAACGCCGGCGGCGAAAGCGGCUCUCUGGCCCAUAACUGACGCUGAGUGUGCGAAAGCUAGGGGAGCAAACGGGAUUAGAUACCCCGGUAGUCCUAGCCGUAAACGAUGGGCACUAAGUAGAGGGGUUUU